GAUGAACGCUGGCGGUGUGCCUAAUACAUGCAAGUCGAGCGAACGGACGAGAAGCUUGCUUUUCUGAUGUUAGCGGCGGACGGGUGAGCAACACGUGGAUAACCUACCUAUAAGACUGGGAUAACUUCGGGAAACCGGAGCUAAUACCGGAUAAUAUUUUGAACCGCAUGGUUCAAAAGUGAAAGACGGUCUUGCUGUCACUUAUAGAUGGAUCCGCGCUGCAUUAGCUAGUUGGUAAGGUAACGGCUUACCAAGGCAACGAUGCAUAGCCGACCUGAGAGGGUGAUCGGCCACACUGGAACUGAGACAUGGUCCAGACUCCUACGGGAGGCAGCAGUAGGGAAUCUUCCGCAAUGGGCGAAAGCCUGACGGAGCAACGCCGCGUGAGUGAUGAAGGUCUUCGGAUCGUAAAACUCUGUUAUUAGGGAAGAACAUAUGUGUAAGUAACUGUGCACAUCUUGACGGUACCUAAUCAGAAAGCCACGGCUAACUACGUGCCAGCAGCCGCGGUAAUACGUAGGUGGCAAGCGUUAUCCGGAAUUAUUGGGCGUAAAGCGCGCGUAGGCGGUUUUUUAAGUCUGAUGUGAAAGCCCACGGCUCAACCGUGGAGGGUCAUUGGAAACUGGAAAACUUGAGUGCAGAAGAGGAAAGUGGAAUUCCAUGUGUAGCGGUGAAAUGCGCAGAGAUAUGGAGGAACACCAGUGGCGAAGGCGACUUCCUGGUCUGUAACUGACGCUGAUGUGCGAAAGCGUGGGGAUCAAACAGGAUUAGAUACCCUGGUAGUCCACGCCGUAAACGAUGAGUGCUAAGUGUUAGGGGGUUUCCGCCCCUUAGUGCUGCAGCUAACGCAUUAAGCACUCCGCCUGGGGAGUACGACCGCAAGGUUGAAACUCAAAGGAAUUGACGGGGACCCGCACAAGCGGUGGAGCAUGUGGUUUAAUUCGAAGCAACGCGAAGAACCUUACCAAAUCUUGACAUCCUUUGACAACUCUAGAGAUAGAGCCUUCCCCUUCGGGGGACAAGGUGACAGGUGGUGCAUGGUUGUCGUCAGCUCGUGUCGUGAGAUGUUGGGUUAAGUCCCGCAACGAGCGCAACCCUUAAGCUUAGUUGCCAUCAUUAAGUUGGGCACUCUAAGUUGACUGCCGGUGACAAACCGGAGGAAGGUGGGGAUGACGUCAAAUCAUCAUGCCCCUUAUGAUUUGGGCUACACACGUGCUACAAUGGACAAUACAAAGGGCAGCGAAACCGCGAGGUCAAGCAAAUCCCAUAAAGUUGUUCUCAGUUCGGAUUGUAGUCUGCAACUCGACUACAUGAAGCUGGAAUCGCUAGUAAUCGUAGAUCAGCAUGCUACGGUGAAUACGUUCCCGGGUCU
rnacentral:rRNA from 1 species